UGGGGAAUCUUCCGCAAUGGGCGAAAGCCUGACGGAGCAAUGCCGCGUGAGUGAAGAAGGCCUUCGGGUUGUAAAACUCUGUCCUUAUCGAAGAGAGGGUGUAGUGUGAAUAAUGCUGCAUUAGGACGGUAGAUAAGGAGGAAGCCCCGGCUAACUACGUGCCAGCAGCCGCGGUAAUACGUAGGGGGCGAGCGUUGUCCGGAAUCACUGGGCGUAAAGGGCGCGUAGGCGGUCUGGUAAGUCAGUGGUGAAAACUGAGGGCUCAACCCUCAGCCUGCCACUGAUACUGUCAGACUUGAGUAUGGAAGAGGAGAAUGGAAUUCCUAGUGUAGCGGUGAAAUGCGUAGAUAUUAGGAGGAACACCAGUGGCGAAGGCGAUUCUCUGGGCCAAAACUGACGCUGAGGCGCGAAAGCGUGGGGAGCAAACAGG
rnacentral:rRNA from 1 species